CCGCCAUCUGGCUACGCACCCAAGUCAUUCAUUCGACUGACUUCUUCUGGAGGACUGAUGACUUCAGAACUCUGGCCCUGACCUUCCACAAUCCUCAGCUCCUCCAAGGACAGACCAGAACGAGUCAUUGCAGCUGAAGAGAAAUCACUCUGAAAGUAAGGCAAGGCUAGCAGACUACGACUGUGAAGAUGUGAACCAUCUCUGGUUUCACUUACCCAUCUGCAGAAGGGCAUGGCUUACAGUAAAUACACUCAGUGGAUAUCUGACAGGGCAUCAUGUAUCCCAAGCUAGCUGCAAACCAAGUGUAACUUGAAG